GGGUCGAUGAUGAGAACCUUAUAUUUUCUGAAGAGAGGUGAUGACUUAAAAAUCAUGCUCAAUAGGAUUACGCUGAGGCCCAACCUAGGGGAGAAUUUUGGAAGAGGACGCUGGGAUCCUGAGGUCCGUGGCAGGGCCACCGUAUUUUGGGCUGGAGACCUCAAGGCCCUGAAGGGCAUCUUGGCAGCCCCCAGCCCUGUCUCUGCACUCCUCCGUGAGGCAGCCCAGGCUCCCUGUGUGGGCUUGGUGUCAGAGUCCCAUUCCCCAGGGGCGGGGCAGGUUGGCGGCUCCUCCCUGAGUCCCCUUUCUCCCUUGUGUCUUUGAGUGACUUCUUCUGCCCAGGUGGGCCCCCUGGCGUUGACCAGCAUAGAUGGUGAGCCUGGAGGAAGACUUGCACUGGGCCUUCUGUGCGCCGGCCAGAGGCCAUCAACCAGGUGCCCAGGUCCUUUUGUACUGAAGCUUGGGCCCUUCCUGGCACCCUGGUCUCCUUCAUGGAGCUGAUGGUGAGCCUGAAGGAAGACUUGCAUCAGGACCAAUGGACCCUGGCAAGUGUCCGUCAGCCAGGUGCUCAGCCCCUGGUGCACUGAAGCUCAGGCCCUUCCUGGCCCCUUGAUCUCCUGCACUGAGCUGUGUGAGCUCUUCUGCCAAGGGGGGGCCUCCUGGCAUUGACCAACAUAGAUGGUGAGCCUGGAGGAAGAUUUGCAUUGGGCCCAAUGGCCCUGGGCCAGUGUCUGUCAGCCAGUUUCCCAGCCCCUGGUGCACUGAAGCUCAGGCCUUUCCUGGCAUCCUGGCCUCCUGCACUGAGCUGUGUGAGUGCUUCUGCCCAGGCAGGCCACUUGGCAUUGACCGGUAUAGAUGGUGAGCCUGGAGGAAGAUGUGUGGGACCCGCAGGCCGAGGGCCAGUGUCUCUCAGCCAGGUGCUCAGCCCCCAGUGGGCUGAAACUCUGACCCUUCCUGGCACCCUGCUCUCCUGCACUGUGCUGUGAUGGUGAGACUUCUGUUGGGCUUGCUUUUCCUGGGCCAGUGUCCAUCAGCCAGGUGCUCAGCCAUCGGUGCGCUGAAGCUCCAGCCCUUCCUGGUGCCCUGAUCUCCUGCACUGAGCUGUGAUGAUGAGCUCUUUCACCUAGGAGGGCCCCUUGGCAUUGACUGGCAUAGAUGGUGACCCUGAAGAAAGACUUCAGUUGGGCCUGAAGGCCCCGGGCCAGUGUCCAUCAUCCAGGUGCUCAGCUCCCAGUGCACUGAAGCUCAGACCCUUCCUGGUUCCCUGGUCUCUUGCACUGAGCUCUGAUGGUGAGACUUGAGGAAGACUUCCACUGGGCCUGCUUUUCCUGAGCCAGUGCCCAUCACCCAGGUGCUCAGUCCCUGGUGCACUGAAGCUCCAGCCCUUCCUGGCGCCCUGGUCUCCUGAACUGAGCUGUGUGAGCUCUUCUGCCAAGCGGUUCCCCUGGCAUUGACCAACAUAGAUGGUGAGCCUGGAGGAAGACUUGCGUUGGGCCCAAAGGCCCUAGACCAGUGUCUGUCAGCCAGGUUCCCAACCCCCGAUGCGCUGAAGCUCAAGCCUUUCCUGGCACCCUGGUCUCCUGCACUGAGCUGUGUGAGCUCUUCUGCCCAGGCGGGCCCCCUGGAAUUGAUGGGUAUAGAUGGUGACCCCGGAGGAAAAUUUGUGUUGGGCCCACUAUCCCUGGGCCAAUGUCAGUCAGCUAGGCACCCAGCCCCCAGUGCGCUGAAGCUCAGGACCUUCCUAGUGCCCUCGGCUCCUGCACUGAGCUCUGAUGGUAAGCCUGGAGGAAGACUUGUGUUGGGCCCACAGGCCCCAGGCCAAUGUCUGUCAGCCAGGUGCUCAGCCUCUGGUGCGCUGAAACUCUGACCCUUCCUGGCACACUGGUCUCCUGCACUGAGCUGGGAUUUUCCACCUAGGAGGUCCACCUGGCAUUGACUGACAUAGAUGGUGAGACUUCUGUCGGCCUCGCUUUUCCUGGGCCAGUGUCCAUCAGCCAGGUGCUCAGCCCCAGUGCACUGAAGCUCCAGCCCUUCCUGGCGCCCUGGACUGAGCUGUGUGAGCUCUUCUGCCAAGGGGGUCCUCCUGGCAUUGACCAACAUAGGUGGUGAGCCUGGAGGAAGACUUGCAUUGGGCCCAAUGGCCCUGGACCAGUGUCUGUCAGCCAGGUUCCCAGCCCCCGAUGCGCUGAAGCUCAAGCCUUUCCUGGCACCCUGGUCUCCUGCACUGAGCUGUGUGAGCUCUUCGGCCCAAGUGGUCCCCCCGGCCUUAAGCGGCAUAGAUGGUGAGCCUGGAGGAAGACUCGUGUUGGGCCCACAGGCCCCAGGCCAGUGUACGUCAGCCAGGUGCUCAGCCCAUGGUGUGCUGAAGCUCUGACCCUUCCUGACUCCGUGGUCUCCUGCACUGAGCUGUGAUGACCAUAUCCAGUGAGCUCUUCCAAACAGGUGGGCUCCCUAGCAUUGACCGACAGAGUGAGCUCUGCCACCCAGGACAUCCCCCUGGCAUUGACUGGCAUAGAUGCUGACCCUGGAGGAAGACUUGUGUCGGGCCCCCAGGCCCCAGGCCAGUGUCCAUCAGCCAGGUGCUCAGCUCCCAGUGCGCUGAAGCUCAGACCCUUCCUGGCACCCUGGUGUCCAGCACUGAGCUGUGUGAGCUUUUCCACCCAGGUGGGCCCCCUGGCAUUGACCGACAUAGUGGCAGGGAGAGCCAAGGGUGCCCCACAUUGGUGACGAGUCAGUAUUUUGCAUGGAUCUCAUCACACGUGACCAUGAAGGACGAGCAAGCAUGAGCUGGCACCAGCCACCCCCUUCUCCGCGUGGAGGGUGGUCACAUGUCCUCCACCUGUGCCCCCAGAUGAUGAGACUGGAGGAAGACUUCCAUUGGGCCCACUUUUCCUGGGCCAGUGUCCAUCAGCCAGGUGCUCAGCCCCUGGUGUACUGAAGCUCCAGCCUUUCCUGGUGCCCCAGUCUUCUGCACUAAGCUGUGUGAGCUCUUCCACCCAGGAGGGCCCCUUGGCAUUGACUGGCAUAGAUGGUGAGACGGGAGGAAGACUUGUGUUGGGCCUGCUGUUCCUGGGCCAGUGGCCAUCAGCCUGUUGCCCAGCCCCUGAGGCGCUGAAGCUCAGGCCCUUCCUCACACCCUGGUCUCCUGCACUAGCUGUGUGAGCUCUUCUGCCCAGGUGGGGCCCAUGGCCUUACACGACAUAGGAGCACGCAUUUCUUGAAGUCCUGCAAAGGUGAUGGUGGUCCAGACAGGAGAGGGUUCCUUCAGCCCAACAUAGCGCAGCUCCCAGCUGAAACUCGGAAGGCUGGUCAGGCCUCGAGGACUGCCCAGGCCACAUGAGGGUUUGGUGGCCGGGAGGGCCAAUGAUGCUCUGCGUCUGUGUUGGAUCAGUGUUCUUCAUGGAUUCCAUCACAUGGUGAGCCUUGAGGAAGACUUGUAUUGGGCCCCCACAGGCCCCAGGCCAGUGUCCGUCAGCCUGGUGCUCACCCCCAGUGUGCUGAAGCUCAGACCCUCCGUGGCACCCUGGUCUCCUGCACUGAGCUGUGUGAACUUUUCCUCCCAGAUGGGCCCCCUGGCAUUGACUGGCAUAGAUGGUGAGACCGGAGGAAGACUUGCAUUGGGCCUGUUGUUCCUGGGCCAGUGGCCAUCAGCCUGUUGCCCAGCCCCUGAUGCGCUGAAGCUCGGGCCCUUCCUCGCGCCCUGGUCUCCUGCACUGAGCUGUGUGAGCUCUUCUGCCCAGGUGAGGCCCAUGGCCUUAAGCGGCAUAGAUGGUGAGCCUGGAGGAAGACUUGUAUUGGGACCCUACAGGCCCCAGGCCAGUGUCUGUCAGCCUGGUGCUCAUCCCCCAGUGCGCUGAAGCUCAGACCCUCCCUGGCACCCUGGUCUCCUGCACUGAGCUGUGAUGGUGAGUCUGGAGGAAGACUUGUGUUGGACCCCCACAGGCCCCAGGCCAGUGUCCAUCAGCCUGGUGCUAAUCCCCCAGUGCUCUGGAGUUUGGACCCUCCCUGGCACCCUGGUCUCCUGCACUGAGCUGUGUGAGCUCUUCCACCCGGGCGGGCCCCCGGCAUUGACUGGCAUAGGUGGUGAGCCCGGAGGAGGACUUGCGUUCGGCCCGCUGGUCCCAGUGUGUCCGGAAUUGGUGGGUUCUUGGUCUCACUGACUUCAAGAAUGAAGCUGCGGACCCUCGCUAUGAUGAUAUGGAAGAAAAGCACUCUUUGGCCUGUUGUGACUGGGACAGUUGACAGCACCCAGGUGUCCUUUAAUGAAAAUGCUCUUGACACCAAUGCAUCCUAGCAUCACAGCUUCAGGAAGCCUUCUCAAGUGUGCAUGGGGAGUACUAUGUCUUUCAUCAAUAAUGAAAUCUUCUGAUUUGUAAGACAUGCUGCCAAGAGAUGUGCCAUUCUAUUAUAAAAGAUCAGUAGCUUCCUUUACCGACGUGUAUAUUCUAUCUAGAACAUUGAGCUAUGGAAGACUCCCACCUAAGGGAAUUAGUUUUACACCUUCAGAUAAAGACUGCUGAGAAGAGCACCCUCUGGUGUUGUCACAGAGGCAAGUGCUACCGCACAGGCAUGCUGCAGUGAAUUUAACUGAUCCUCUGUCCCUGCAACCGUUGUUUAAGGAUGCUAUUCUGAAAAGACUGUGGAGGAAGAAAACCCUUUACCCUGUUGUUCAGGGAGAAACUGACACCACUCAACUGCCUGGCACUGAAAAUGUGGCAUCCAGUCCACUUUACCAUCAGUGUUUAAGGAAACCAUCUCUGAUAAGGAUGACUGAGGAAGAGUACUCUUUGGCUUGUUGACACCAGCACAGCUGACACACCCAGAUAUCUGUUUGGUCUCCUGUGAACUUUCAACCAGGAUUUAAGGAUGCCACUCUGGUUAAAAGCUGAAACAACUUCAAGGAAACUUCAGGGAAAAGAGAAGGCCUGGAAUCUGAUCCUCCACUUCAGAGAACAGGGGUGGUGGAGUCUAUGGCCCUUCUCCUUGAAUCUGAGUGAAAUUAGUGAGUCUUUCAAUCCAAAGACUACAGUCAUACCUCAACUAUCUACAGAGGACUGGUUCCAGGACUCCCAUGGAUCCCAAAAUCCAAGGAUGCUUCGAAUCCCUUAUAUAAAAUGGCAUGGUAUUUGCAUAUAACCUACAUGCAUCUUCAAAUAUGUUAAACCAUCUCUAGAUUACUUAUAAUACCAAAUACAAUGUAAUGCUAUGUAAACAGUUGUUACAAUGUAUUGUCAAAGACAAGCUCUCCUUGCCAAUCCCUGACCAAAUGAGAGAUUCAUGAGCAAAAUAAAUAGUUGCUGAUAUUUAAGGCACUAAGUUUGGGGCAAUGUAUUACACAGCAAUAAAUAACUGGAACAGCAUAGUAAAUUCUAGUUAAAAAUACUAAACUACUAAGUUUUAGUUAACAUACAUGCUCAAGUUAAGGGUGUGGUAUACUAACAACUGCAACUUACUUUGAAAAGCAUAAAAAAAGACACUAGAAGAAGACAGGAUGGAUAGAUGGACAAGAUAGAAGACAAUAACAAAUAGAACAAAAUGUUGUGAAAUUAUAUUCUACAAUUAUUUUAAAGUCUGUGUGGUUUGAAAAAUUGUACGAUAAAAUGAAGAGUGAAAUAAAGACAUUUCCAUACAAACAAAAGCUGAAAGAUUUUGUAGCCAGUAGACCUAUACUUUAGAAAUGUUUAAGAAAUUUUUUCAAGUAAAAGGAAAAUAACACCAGCAACAAACUUGGAUCUACAAAAAGGAAUCUCCACAAAGAAAAAUAAAUAAAAAUGGUAAAUAUGAAGGUAAAUAUAAAGGAAUGUUAUUCUUAGUUUUUAAGUUUCUUCGUAAGACAACUGGCCUUUGAAAGAAAUAGUUUCAAACGCUGCUGUGGAAUCUAUAACACAUAUAGAAGUAAAAUGUUAAGAUCAUAAUACCAAAAAGAAUGAGGGAGAGUAAAUGGAUGUAUACUAUUCCAAAAUUCUUACAUUAUACAUUAAGAGGAAUAAUAUUUUUGAAGGUAGAUUGAGGUAAGUUAAAGGUGCAUAUUGUAAAUCCUAGAAGUAUCACUGGGGGGAAAAAAAACAGAGGGACAAGCUAAUAAUGGAGACAAUACAAAAUUCCAAAAAUGCUCCAUUAACCGAAAAGAAGGCAGAAAAGGAAGAAAAGAUUAGACAAAUAGAAAACAAAUAGUGUCUUAAACACAAUUAUAUUGCCAACUGCAAUAAAUGUAAAUGGACUUAAUCAAAAAGCAACGAUCGUAAAAAGUCAAUCUGAAAGCAAGAUGCAACUAUAUGCUAUCUAAAAGAAAGACAUUAAAUGACCAAUAAGCUGAAAAUAAAAACACAGCAAAAUGAUAUAAUGUGCAAAAAUUAAUCAUAAGAAAGGAAUGGAUACACUAAUAUCAAAGUAGACUUUAGAUAAGGAACAUUACCAGCGAUAAACAGAGACAUUUCAUAAUGAUAAAGACAUCAAUUAAUCAAGGAGAUCUAACAGUCCUAAAUGUGAACACACCUAAGGACACAA
rnacentral:lncRNA from 1 species